GAGAAAUUAGUUAAAAAUAAUGUUAGCUUGUCAUGCUAGAGUUGCUCGGUUGGGCAUUUCUUU
rnacentral:tRNA from 1 species